CGUGGACUAGGCAAAAGUUGAGGAAAGUGACCAACAACAGCAGUGGCCAUUUUCAAAAAGGUAAAUGAAGAAUUCGGAGCCCGAACUGAAGUUUAAGCCCAGAUGCAAAAAAAGAAAAAAAAGGAUCAAAGAGCCUGGGACAGAAUCCUGGCAACAGUGAACCCAGGAGCAUGGGCCCUCAGAUUGCCCUUAAAUUUCAGGAUCUCUUCCACCACAUUCACAGGCAGAUGGAGGGCCACGCCCACCACCACCUCUACCCGUGCCAUCUCUACCCCAAGGAGUUGCUCCUCCUUCUCCAACUUCUUAACCUAGAAUAAGUGGUAAACUA